rnacentral:misc_RNA from 1 species
GCAUCAUGAGUCCGGAAUGAAAAGAUUCAGAAAUGGAAGGAGCACAGCCAACUCUCAGCUGGACGCGAAGGCGGUGAAGGCUUCAAUAGAAAAAGAAUAGAAGCGACGUCGUAUUAGGAACUCAAGAGACUAAGCAGUGCGUCUUCAAGAUACGAAUACUUUCCGAAAGAAAAGUGUUGCGACCUCUACAGUAGUUGGGUAAAAAAUGGUGAGAUUUAGCAGAGCGCUGUUGAAAGAAGCAAGGAAUGGAAUCAACAAAACUCUCUCAGAAAUUCUGGUCUGCCCACUCUCCAAGCAACCCUUGAGGUAUUGUGAGGAAACGAAUUCUCUUGUCAGCGAUGCUAUCGGUGUCUCUUAUCCUAUAAAGGAUGGGAUCCCUUGCUUAGUUCCAAGGGAUGGCAAGAUAAUUGAAACUGAUGAGGACAUAAAACCUGAUGGUGCUUCUGAUUCAUCUGCAAAGAAUUAGGAGUAAUGAUGAGAGAGUCAAUAAGCUCAAACAGAUGUGACUGAAAUGCUAUUUGCCAUUGGUAGAAGUAACUACUUUUUACUGGGUUGACGUGAAUCUGGUGAACUUGUUCUUUCCGUAAUACAAAUCCUUUUCUUAUAUUUGUCAGGCCUCAAUAUCAACAAAUGCAAGAUCAAAGUCAUUAUCUUUUGCCAUGCUUGAUAUUUAUUUCGACUGUGGAUAAGUGUGUUGAGUGCUUGAAAUAUCUAGUUCAAUACUCAACUCAAUUAAGCCUUAUCCAAAAAAUUUGGGACCGGUAUAUGGAUUCGCUUUUUU